CGCGUAGGUGGUUUGAUAAGGGUGUGGUGAAAGUCCGGGGCUCAACCCCGGAUCUGCCGUGCCGACUGUCAAACUCGAGGGCUGUAGAGGCAGACGGAAUUCCGGGUGUAGCGGUGGAAUGCGUAGAGAUCCGGAGGAAGACCGGUGGCGAAGGCGGUCUGCUGGGCAGUUUCUGACACUGAGGCGCGACAGCGUGGGGAGCAAACA
rnacentral:rRNA from 1 species